rnacentral:rRNA from 1 species
GUCCACGCCGUAAACGAUGGACACUAGUUGUUGGAAUUAUUCAGUGACUAAGCGAAAGUGAUAAGUGUCCCACCUGGGGAGUACGAUCGCAAGAUUGAAACUCAAAGGAAUUGACGGGGGCCCGCACAAGCGGUGGAGCAUGUGGUUUAAUUCGAUGAUACGCGAGGAACCUUACCAGGGCUUAAAUGUAGUCUGACAGCUUUAGAGAUAGAGUUUUCUUCGGACAGAUUACAAGGUGCUGCAUGGUU